GACGAAGGAUGCAAGCGUUAUCCGGAUUCAUUGGGUUUAAAGGGAGCGUAGGUGGCCUUAUAAGUCAGUGGUGAAAUCUUCGAGCUUAACUCGGAAAUUGCCAUUGAUACUGUAGGGCUUGAGUAUAGUUGCCGUUGGCGGAAUAUGACAUGUAGUGGUGAAAUACAUAGAGAUGUCAUAGAACACCGAUUGCGAAGGCAGCUGACGAAACUAUAACUGACGCUGAGGCUCGAAAGUGCGGGGAUCAAACAGG
rnacentral:rRNA from 1 species